rnacentral:sRNA from 1 species
CAGGAUCGCCCCCCGUCAGCGAGGUUUCGCCCACGGGGGUGUUGGU